rnacentral:rRNA from 1 species
UACGUAGGGGGCUAGCGUUGUCCGGAAUCAUUGGGCGUAAAGAGCGUGUAGGCGGCCCGGUAAGUCCGCUGUGAAAGUCGAGGGCUCAACCCUCGGAUGCCGGUGGAUACUGUCGGGCUUGAGUACGGAAGAGGCGAGUGGAAUUCCUGGUGUAGCGGUGAAAUGCGCAGAUAUCAGGAGGAACACCAAUGGCGAAGGCAGCUCGCUGGGACGGUACUGACGCUGAGGCGCGAAAGCGUGGGGAGCAAACAGG